UACACUAGCUGAGUAACGGGUAUCAGAUAGUCGGGGAACUCGACUAUAGCGUUCUCUCUUGUUAAAAAGUAGAAAUUGCAACUCGACCCAAUAUUUCGGUUCUAGUGUGAACAAAAUAUAACGACUAUAUCAUUAAGCUGUUGUAGCAACAGUAAGAAAACAAGAGAGAGCGCUAUAGCCGAGUUUCCCCGACUUUGUGAUAUCCUUUACUCAGCAAGUGGAAGGAAAUUUCAUCACUGACAGCUUUGGCGGUUUGUGGGCGGUAGAGUGGGCGUGGUAAAAAGAUUUUUGUCAAAUCGAGGGAAAUUUACUAGACUAACAAGAAUGUGAAAAAAUAGGGUGGGCGUUGCAAUUAAUCUAUACAAUACUAGUAAACAAUUGAAUAAAUAUCAAAAUAUUUUACAAAAGUGUGGACGUGGCAGUUUUGGCCUGUUUCUGAGCGUUACGGUUGGCGUGGCAAAAGGUUUUUUCGCAGAUUGAUAGAAAUUUACAAUACUAAUAAAAAAUGAAAAAUUAUCAAAACAUUUUACAACAGUGCGGGAGUGACAACUAUUGGCGAUUUGUAGCCGUGGCAAACAAAUUUUUUGCAAAAAAAAGUACUAAUAAAAAAAAAAAAAUGAAAAAAUUAACGUCUGGAUCUCAGGAACUAUAAUAGCAAGAAAUUUGAGAUUAAGGAUGCAGAUACCAGAGACAUAAAAGCAGCCCAAAGCUGCCACGUUUGAAAAAUGUUCAGAUAUUUGGUAGUCCUGAAAAUUUCUAUCGAUUUGCCAAACUACUUUUUGCCACGCACAAGCCGGCUUUUGAAAAAGGUUUUGAAAUUCUUUCAUUCAGUCUUCGUUGCGUCCACUCUAAUGCCUACACUUUUGAACAAUGUUUUAAUAUUUUUGAUUUAUGUCUGAUUAUUAUUUUAUUAUCACUUUCAAAAUUGUGUAUUUUGAAAAAACGACUUAAGUGAAAAUGGAGUUUAAAGUUUGUCGAUAAAGGAAAGGCUGAUUCAGCCCCAGUCACUUCCGCAAGGCAUCUCUUCCACAAUUUCGAGAAAUAGCUUUUGAAACUAUGACACGAUAUUCUGAGGCAAUAUACCUAUCAAUUAAAAUGAAAAAAUUAAUUUUUGUGUCUAAAGGCAGUUCCCCAGUGUUAUCCCCAAGUGUUAUAUCUCGCAAUAUAUAACUGCAAAAUCACAUCGGACCACUCUGAAGUGUUUAAUGCAUAUUAAAAGACCAGAAAAAUUCGAUCACAGGCUGACGUCGUAAUUAAAUCUAUUGUACAAAAAUUGCUAGUGCUCCUACCUAAUAUCCCUUGCCGUUGUACAUGAUUUUAACGUAGUCUAGCUUCAUAAUCUAUUGCUUUAUAUCAGAACAGCUGUUAGUUAAGUUUUAAGUUUAAUACAUUUUAGUUAGUCUCCGCAUCUAAGAUUUAAAAAAGAACAAAUUUCCAAAGAAAACUUGUUUGAGAAAGUUUUAGAAUAGCUUUUGCAACAAAGUGGUAGCCCAUUGUUCAUAUUAUUCCUUAUUUCCGUUUAUUUUAUAUAUUUGUUUUAAAAGAAUUGUGCACGUUUGUGUCACUAGAAUCGGUAACUUAAGCCUAACUUUUUCGCUUUUAUAGAUCCCGAGAUCUCGAAGCUCAUAUACACACUCGGACAGAAAUGAUCAAAUUGACUGGUCUUGUAUUCCUGAUCAAGAAUAUAUACAUACAUACAUAUGUACCCUUGACAGGGGAAUAGUAGGGUCUCUGUUACAUAUUUAUCUAGUAUGCCCAUUUACUUUACGAGAAACGGGUUUACCAUUUUUAUAAAAGUCAUUGUGGCCUGCCAACUUGAGAUCCAUUUUUGAAGCUUCUUUGUUUCGUUUUAAAUUUUCUUUUUCAAAAAUACUUCAUUUAUUGAAAAACGUUAAAUAAUUUAUAAGAAAUAUUAUUAAUGUAUUCCAGCCCCGUAUGCCUCUGCCUUCUAUCCUAACAUCAUUAUAUGGCUUCAGCUUAAAGCAAAAACUAUUUAAUUGUAUUAAACACUUAAAAUGGAAGGUUUUCAUAGAAACACACGGGAAUGGCUAGAUCAAAUCCACUGGUAACGAAGACCCCACCUUUAAAUCAGUACAAAAAGCUCUGGAACUUCGUUUGGUAACAACAUUGGCUAUAAGUUUUUCUCAUCUAGAGUGCUACAAUUAAACUACUCACAUUCAUUAGGUAUAUUUUGGUGAAUUAUUACCCGUAGUUACAGGACGCAACUUCAUGGGUAUGAGAUUGUACUUCAUUGCCAUUGACAGUACCGGUGCUCUCAUCGUUCAGCUAACAUACAAACGCAUUUCUGGUUGAAAACUACUAGCACAAAAACAUAAACAUCUAUGUAUGUAUGGAAUGUUAAGCCAUAUUUAGAUGGUAACUAAAAGGAUUAUACUAUAAAUUAUUUUAGUUAGCUAGAGAAAAUAAUUAUUUCAUUUAAAUUACGCCAAAAUUUUCUGCUUCAUUAUUAUGCCCUUAUCAUCAACAACAUUUUAUUAAAAUUUUUAACUUUUGUGACAUAACAUACAAUCAGUCUAUAUUUGUUUUAGAUACAUAUAUAUGUGGGGACAAUAUAUAUAUCUAUAUAUAUAUUUGUACAUUGUAUCUAAAUUCUAGAAUAUUUAUUUAUGUACAUUAUUUUAAAGCCCAAAUAUUGUUCGGAAUAUAUACUAAAUGUCUCCUAAGGCACCGAAAA